CUCAGCACACACACACAGGCCACGUUGAUCCGUAUGAGCCUCCAGGCCACCAGGUUCUUAAAGGAAGUCAGGGCUCGGACAAAAGUGUGUGAGUUGGUGCAGUAGGAGUUCCAGUGUCUGGCAUCGAUCCCCAAACAGCCGGAGCUGCCUGAGCGCUCGCUGUGGCACGUCGUCUCAAAGAAUGACUGAUGCUAUCGCACACUGAGUAGACUCCUCUGUGCUGAGGCUGCCCUGCUCGCCUGCGGGCCCUCCUUCCGCCCCCCUGUGACCCCGCCGGAUCUGCAUCAGGCGGCUGGUCGCUGAAGAGCACCCUGGGUGAGAGGUAGCGGCGCUUGGUGAACAGCUUUGGGUCCACUGUGGGGAUGGUGUUGGAGUUGUUGUCUGGACCCUGCUGCUGUGCUGCUCCUAUGAUGGCGGCCACAGCCUGGGCACUGAAGAGGAGGAACAGGACCAGCAUGGACGACCUCAUGGGCACACGACCUGUCAGCAAGCAAAGAAAACACUGUUACUGCAGAUAUAUAGUUGGCUCUCAAAGACAUCCACGAUCUGAACUGAGAGAGUUUGAUGUAAUCUUCAACUUAUUCACAGACAUGAGAAAGGACUUAAUGAUUAUCUCUGGGCAAGCAGGAAGAAUAAGUGUCAUUCUCCAGGAACAGUACUGAAUUUCCUUUUUAAGAACAGGAAAUGGAUCUUGUUUAUGUAAGUUAUCCAUGGAAAUCGGUGUAC